UAUCGGGUGUAGAGUACACGAGCGGCGGACGGGUGAGUAACGCGUGGGAAUCUACCCCAAACUGAGGGAUAAGCAUCGGAAACGGUGUCUAAUACCGCAUAUGGUCUUCGGAUUAAAGCUUCGGCGGUUUGGGAAGAGCCCGCGUAAGAUUAGCUAGUUGGUGAGGUAAUGGGCUCACCAAGGCGACGAUCUUUAACUGGUUUGAGAGGAUGAUCAGUCACACUGGAACUGAGACACGGUCCAGACUCCUACGGGAGGCAGCAGUGAGGAAUUUCCACAAUGGGCGAAAGCCUGAUGGAGCGACGCCGCGUGCAGGAUGAAGGCUUUAGGGUUGUAAACUGCUUUUAUAUGUGACGAAUAUGACGGUAGCAUAUGAAUAAGGAUCGGCUAACUCCGUG
rnacentral:rRNA from 1 species